GCCGGGCAUGGUGAGUCAUGCCUGUAAUCCCAGUACUUUGGGAGGCUGAGACGGGUGGAUCACCUGAGGUCAGGAGUUUGAGACCAGCCUGGCCAACAUGGUGAAAGUCCGUCUCUU
rnacentral:SRP_RNA from 1 species